AGUCGAGCGGAGAGAGGUAGCUUGCUACUGAUCUUAGCGGCGGACGGGUGAGUAAUGCUUAGGAAUCUGCCUAUUAGUGGGGGACAACAUUUCGAAAGGAAUGCUAAUACCGCAUACGUCCUACGGGAGAAAGCAGGGGAUCUUCGGACCUUGCGCUAAUAGAUGAGCCUAAGUCGGAUUAGCUAGUUGGUGGGGUAAAGGCCUACCAAGGCGACGAUCUGUAGCGGGUCUGAGAGGAUGAUCCGCCACACUGGGACUGAGACACGGCCCAGACUCCUACGGGAGGCAGCAGUGGGGAAUAUUGGACAAUGGGCGCAAGCCUGAUCCAGCCAUGCCGCGUGUGUGAAGAAGGCCUUAUGGUUGUAAAGCACUUUAAGCGAGGAGGAGGCUACUUUAGUUAAUACCUAGAGAUAGUGGACGUUACUCGCAGAAUAAGCACCGGCUAACUCUGUGCCAGCAGCCGCGGUAAUACAGAGGGUGCAAGCGUUAAUCGGAUUUACUGGGCGUAAAGCGCGCGUAGGCGGCUAAUUAAGUCAAAUGUGAAAUCCCCGAGCUUAACUUGGGAAUUGCAUUCGAUACUGGUUAGCUAGAGUGUGGGAGAGGAUGGUAGAAUUCCAGGUGUAGCGGUGAAAUGCGUAGAGAUCUGGAGGAAUACCGAUGGCGAAGGCAGCCAUCUGGCCUAACACUGACGCUGANGUGCGAAAGCAUGGGGAGCAAACAGGAUUANAUACCCUGGUAGUCCAUGCCGUAAACGAUGUCUACUANCCGUUGGGGCCUUUGAGGCUUUAGUGGCGCAGCUAACGCGAUAAGUANACCGCCUGGGGAGUACNGUCGCAAGACUAAAACUCAAAUGAAUUGACNGGGGCCCGCACANCGGUGGANCAUGUGGUUUAAUUCGAUGCNACGCGAANAACC
rnacentral:rRNA from 1 species